rnacentral:lncRNA from 1 species
UGGGCGUGUUUGAGUUGAGUAUUUUGUCUUGAUAUCGUUCAAAGUAAGAAUAUUUCAUACAUCGUCUCGCUUCAGAUUCUAUCAUUUUUAUAUAUUAAAGCUACAGGUUGACUUUAUAACACAAAAAAAUAACAGUACUAAAAGAUGAAAUAUAUGGGUCAAGUGAAAUACCUAUCUAAUGAGUCACAAAAACAGGGAAGGUGUGUUCGAAUAGCUAUUUUUUUACUGAAAGUACUUGACGACAGUCUUACAAGUUGGAUGAUGAAAAUGCAUAUCUUCGAAAAAUUCUAAUU